rnacentral:lncRNA from 1 species
GCAAAAUGGGCGUUGCCCCGCCCAACCCGUGGUACUGGAGGAGCCCGCCACUGCUCCUGAGUCUGACACAGGCCUUUUCCCCUGGGAGGUCACUGUUUAUUUUAUCUGAGCAAACAAUCCGCAAAGCACAGAGCAGCUGGGACCCCUGCAUCUUGCACCUGUGAGGAGCUCUGCCUUCGCGCUCUGGAGUAUUAAGACUGAGUUCCUUCCUUCUAUCCACCACCCCCGCCCUCCCACGCACUAAAAAGUAAUGAUCACUUUGUGCAUCUGUUAACAUUUGUUAACACUGGUGAAUAAAUAGCCUUUGGCAAGUUGGAUCUUGUUUUUUUUUAAGUGCACCUAAGGGAGCCCGCCAUUAAAAGAAACCCUAUGGUGAACACUUCUG